GAUGAACGCUGGCGGCGUGCCUAAUACAUGCAAGUCGAGCGAACAGACGAGGAGCUUGCUCCUCUGACGUUAGCGGCGGACGGGUGAGUAACACGUGGAUAACCUACCUAUAAGACUGGGAUAACUUCGGGAAACCGGAGCUAACACCGGAUAACAUGUUGAACCGCAUGGUUCAACAGUGAAAGACGGUCUUGCUGUCACUUAUAGAUGGAUCCGCGCCGGAUUAGCUAGUUGGUAAGGUAACGGCUUACCAAGGCAACGAUGCGUAGCCGACCUGAGAGGGUGAUCGGCCACACUGGAACUGAGACACGGUCCAGACUCCUACGGGAGGCAGCAGUAGGGAAUCUUCCGCAAUGGGCGAAAGCCUGACGGAGCAACGCCGCGUGAGUGAAGAAGGUCUUCGGAUCGUAAAACUCUGUUAUUAGGGAAGAACAAAUGUGUAAGUAACUAUGCACGUCUUGACGGUACCUAAUCAGAAAGCCACGGCUAACUACGUG
rnacentral:rRNA from 1 species